GACGAACGCUGGCGGCGUGCUUAACACAUGCAAGUCGAACGAUGAACCCGGAGAUUGCUCUGGGGGAUGAGUGGCGAACGGGUGAGGAACACGGGAGAAACCUGCCCUGGACUCUGGGAUAAGCGUUGGAAACGACGUCUAAUACCGGAUAGGACCUUGGAUCGCAUGAUCUGGGGUGGAAAGUUGUAUCGGUCUGGGAUGGACUCGCGGCCUAGCAGCUUGGUGGUGAGGUAAUGGCUCACCAAGGCGUCGACGGGUAGCCGGCCUGGGAGGGUGACCGGCCACGCUCGGACUGAGACACGGCCCAGACUCCUUCGGGCGGCAGCAGUGGGGAAUAUUGCUCCAUGGGCGAAAGCCUGAUGCAGCAACGCCGCGUGCGGGAUGACGGCCUUCGGGUUGUUAACCGCUUUUAGUAGGGAAGAAGGGCUUCGGCUUGACGUUACCUGCAGAAAAAGGACCGGCUAACUACGUG
rnacentral:rRNA from 1 species